rnacentral:lncRNA from 10 species
AGCGACUAGUACAAAAGAAGGAAAGAGUUUGAAAUAGGUGCUGAACGUGUGGAGCUAUCCAUGGUUCUGAAUCCGACUCAGCAGUUGGCAACUCUUCUCUGCCUACAACCAACCAGGGACAAUAGAACUACAAACUCAGAUGUGAAAACUAAAGGUGAAAAGGGUUAAGAAACUUAACCAAGAUUUCAUAGCUAGCAUGUGGCAGAACUAUGAGCUGGCACCACAGAGAAGGAGAAGGAAAGUGAUGGUGGAUAUAAGAAACAUAAGAAGGAGAGGCGAUGUGAAAUACCUGGGACAUCUCAGAGGAAGGAUUUCGUGACUGAGACAACGAAAGAAUUUCAACAUAUACGAUGUGCAUAAAGAUAAUGUAGACAUAAUUCAAGGAAGUUUUUACAAACAGAAUGUAAACUUGAAUUCAAGGACUUAUUUGCAUGGUUAAAUGAGUUUAAGCGUCAUUUAAAUUAAUGCUUUCAUUCUUAGAUUAGACUCCUGAGAUAUAACCCUGCUGGAUAGUUAGUAGACAUCUUAGCAUUGUUGUUAUGUAUGCUAAAGGUGUACUUAACUUCUAAUAUAACAUAUUUUUGGAAAACAUGCAUAAAAUAUUUUCUAUCUCUGAGAUAUUUGAGCUUUCAGAGUAUCUGCAUUCAGAAUUGGCAGGCCAUGUUAAUAUGUAUAUUUUCAAAAUCCGUAUGGCACCCUUGAAGCCAAGUGUGAAAUUAACUCUACCUGAAUCACAUGUACUGAGUAGGAAAGGGUGGUCCCUAAGAAAACUACUACAAGAAGGUUGGAUGAAUGGACGGAUGGAUGGAUGGAUGGAUGCUAUUCUGGCAUAGUAAUAUAUAUGUCUAUUCCUCCCUCUUUUCCUCCCUUCCUUUCUUUCUCUCCUCCUCCAUUCCUUUCUUCUAACUUGAUAUUAGUGACUAAUAUGUAGCACUGUUAUAAAUACUGAAGAAUACAUUAAUUAAAAACAUGGUUCAUUACUGGAAGAUGAGUCUAGUGCCAAAAUACAGACCACAGCAAAACAGUACAAUAAGUGACUAUGGAGGCAUACACAGGGUACAAUGAAAGUAAUGAAGAGCGGGAGGUUGGGCUAUUUGCAUAUGGUGUCUGGGUUGAUUUUCUAAGGAGAUAAGAUUUAAAAUAUUUCAUGAAAUAUGGGUAGGAGUUAGCCAGAUAAAAGAGUGGAAUAAGGACUUUACCAAAACAUGGAAUAGAAUAUUUAGCAAACAAUUUGGUAUGGCUUCUUAUCUGUGGAUGAGAGUCAGAGGAAGCUGGGGAGUCAUUAACAGGACAUAUGAUAGGAAGUUUGGGUUUAUUCUAAUGACCAUUGUGAGGUUCUAAUGAGGCAAGGGAGAAUAAAUGAGUGUUAUUACAAAGCGUUAAGAC